rnacentral:rRNA from 1 species
CCGCACGGGUGAGUAACACGUAUCCAACCUGCCGUCUACUCUUGGCCAGCCUUCUGAAAGGAAGAUUAAUCCAAGAUGGCAUCAUGAGUCCGCAUGUUCACAUGAUUAAAGGUGUUCCGGUAGACGAUGGGGAUGCGUUCCAUUAGAUAGUAGGCGGGGUAACGGCCCACCUAGUCUUCGAUGGAUAGGGGUUCUGAGAGGAAGGUCCCCCACAUUGGAACUGAGACACGGUCCAA